AAAUGAAUAGACGGGGGCCCGCACAAGCGGAGGAACAUGUGGUUUAAUUCGAUGAUACGCGAGGAACCUUACCCGGGAUUGAAAUGUACCUGACGAACGGUGAGAGCCGUUUUCCGCAAGGCAGGUAUGUAGGUGCUGCAUGGUUGUCGUCAGCUCGUGCCGUGAGGUGUCGGCUUAAGUGCCAUAACGAGCGCAACCCUGACUGUCAGUUGCUAACAGGUAGAGCUGAGGACUCUGGCGGGACUGCCGGCGUAAGCUGUGAGGAAGGUUGGGAUGACGUCAAAUCAGCACGGCCCUUACAUCCGGGGCGACACACGUGUUACAAUGGGGAGGACAGCGGGUAGCUACUUAGUGAUAAGAUGCUAAUCUCGAAACCUUCUCUCAGUUCGGAUCGGAGUCUGCAACUCGACUCCGUGAAGCUGGAUUCGCUAGUAAUCGCGCAUCAGCCAUGGCGCGGUGAAUACGUUCCCGGGCCUUGUACACACCGCCCGU
rnacentral:rRNA from 1 species